rnacentral:rRNA from 1 species
UACGUAGGGUGCGAGCGUUAAUCGGAAUUACUGGGCGUAAAGUGUGCGCAGGCGGCCGCGCAAGUCGAGUGUGAAAGCCCCGGGCUUAACUUGGGAAUUGCGCUCGAAACUACGUGGCUGGAGUGUGGCAGAGGAAGGUGGAAUUCCAGGUGUAGCGGUGAAAUGCGUAGAGAUCUGGAGGAACACCGAUGGCGAAGGCAGGUCUCUGGGCAUUAACUGACGCUGAGGAGCGAAAGCAUGGGGAGCGAACGAGGAAU